rnacentral:rRNA from 1 species
AUACGUAGGUCCCGAGCGUUGCGCGGAGUCACUGGGCGUAAAGCGUCCGCAGCCGGCUCCGUAAGCGGGAUGUCAAAGCCCACGGCUCAACCGUGGAACGGCAUCCUGAACUGCGGAGCUUGAGGCACGCUCAGGCAGGCGGAAUUCCCGGGGUAGCGGUGAAAUGCGUAGAUCUCGGGAGGAACACCGAAGGGGAAGCCAGCCUGCUGGAGCUGUCCUGACGGUCGGGGACGAAAGCCAGGGGAGCGAACCGGAUUAGAAACCCUAGUAGUCC